rnacentral:rRNA from 1 species
GAUCAUGGCUCAUGACGAACGCUGGCGGCGUGCUUAACACAUGCAAGUCGAACGAAGAAUGAUGGGAGCUUGCUCCUAUCAAUCUUAGUGGCGAACGGGUGAGUAACGCGUAAUCAACCUGCCCUUCAAUGGGGGACAACAGUUGGAAACGACUGCUAAUACCGCAUACGAUCGUAAUUCGGCAUCGAGAUACGAUGAAAGGUGGCCUCUAUUUAUAAGCUAUCGUUGAAGGAGGGG